rnacentral:rRNA from 1 species
UUAAAUUGAAGAGUUUGAUCAUGGCUCAGAUUGAACGCUGGCGGCAGGCCUAACACAUGCAAGUCGAACGGUAACAGGAAUCAGCUUGCUGAUUCGCUGACGAGUGGCGGACGGGUGAGUAAUGUCUGGGAAACUGCCUGAUGGAGGGGGAUAACUACUGGAAACGGUAGCUAAUACCGCAUAACGUCGCAAGACCAAAGAGGGGGACCUUCGGGCCUCUUGCCAUCGGAUGUGCCCAGAUGGGAUUAGCUAGUAGGUGGGGUAACGGCUCACCUAGGCGACGAUCCCUAGCUGGUCUGAGAGGAUGACCAGCCACACUGGAACUGAGACACGGUCCAGACUCCUACGGGAGGCAGCAGUGGGGAAUAUUGCACAAUGGGCGCAAGCCUGAUGCAGCCAUGCCGCGUGUAUGAAGAAGGCCUUCG